GACGAACGCUGGCGGCGUGCCUAAUACAUGCAAGUCGAGCGAGCGGAACUAACAGAUUUACUUCGGUAAUGACGUUAGGAAAGCGAGCGGCGGAUGGGUGAGUAACACGUGGGGAACCUGCCCCAUAGUCUGGGAUACCACUUGGAAACAGGUGCUAAUACCGGAUAAGAAAGCAGAUCGCAUGAUCAGCUUUUAAAAGGCGGCGUAAGCUGUCGCUAUGGGAUGGCCCCGCGGUGCAUUAGCUAGUUGGUAAGGUAAAGGCUUACCAAGGCGAUGAUGCAUAGCCGAGUUGAGAGACUGAUCGGCCGCAUUGGGACUGAGACACGGCCCAAACUCCUACGGGAGGCAGCAGUAGGGAAUCUUCCACAAUGGACGCAAGUCUGAUGGAGCAACGCCGCGUGAGUGAAGAAGGUUUUCGGAUCGUAAAGCCCUGUUGUUGGUGAAGAAGGAUAGAGGUAGUAACUGGCCUUUAUUUGACGGUAAUCAACCAGAAAGUCACGGCUAACUACGUG
rnacentral:rRNA from 1 species